UCUUAGUGGCGGACGGGUGCGUAACGCGUAUGUAACCUACCUUUGACAGGGGGAUAACAUCGAGAAAUUGGUACUAAUACCCCAUAACAUCACCGGAGGCAUCUUCGGUGGUUGAAAACUCAGGUGGUCAGAGAUGGACAUGCGUUGUAUUAGCUAGUUGGUGAGGUAACGGCUCACCAAGGCGACGAUACAUAGGGGGACUGAGAGGUCAACCCCCCACAUUGGUACUGAGACACGGACCAAACUCCUACGGAAGGCAGCAG
rnacentral:rRNA from 1 species